CAGUAGCCGCGGGAAUACGUAGGUGGCAAGCGUUGUCCGGAAUUAUUGGGCGUAAAGGGUGCGUAGGCGGUUUGGCAAGUUUCGUGUGAAAACUUCGGGCUCAACCCGAAGCCUGCACGGAAAACUGCCGGGCUUGAGUAUGGGAGAGGUGAGUGGAAUUUCCGGUGUAGCGGUGAAAUGCGUAGAUAUCGGAAGGAACACCUGUGGCGAAAGCGGCUCACUGGACCAUAACUGACGCUGAGGCACGAAAGCUAGGGGAGCAAACAGGAUUAGAUACCCCCGUAGUCCCUGUCUCUUAUAC
rnacentral:rRNA from 1 species